UACGGAGGGGGCUAGCGUUGCUCGGAAUUACUGGGCGUAAAGCGCACGUAGGCGGCUCUUUAAGUCGGGGGUGAAAUCCUGGAGCUCAACUCCAGAACUGCCUUCGAUACUGAAGAGCUAGAGUCCGGGAGAGGUGAGUGGAACUGCGAGUGUAGAGGUGAAAUUCGUAGAUAUUCGCAAGAACACCAGUGGCGAAGGCGGCUCACUGGCCCGGUACUGACGCUGAGGUGCGAAAGCGUGGGGAGCAAACAGG
rnacentral:rRNA from 1 species